rnacentral:rRNA from 1 species
AUUGAACGCUGGCGGCAGGCCUAACACAUGCCAGUCGAGCGGAUGAAGGGAGCUUGCUCCUGGAUUCAGCGGCGGACGGGUGAGUAAUGCCUAGGAAUCUGCCUGGUAGUGGGGGAUAACGUCCGGAAACGGGCGCUAAUACCGCAUACGUCCUGAGGAGAAAGUGGGGGAUUCUCGGACCCCCCCCUUUCAGAUUAACCUAGGUCGGAUUAGCUAGUUGGUGGGGUAAAGGCCUACCAAGGCGACGAUCCGUAACUGGUCUGAGAGGAUGAUCAGUCACACUGGAACUGAGACACGGUCCAGACUCCUACGGGAGGCAGCAGUGGGGAAUAUUGGACAAUGGGCGAAAGCCUGAUCCAGCCAUGCCGCGUGUGUGAAGAAGGUCUUCGGAUUGUAAAGCACUUUAAGUUGGGAGGAAGGGCAGUAAGUUAAUACCUUGCUGUUUUGACGUUACCAACAGAAUAAGCACCGGCUAACUUCGUG